UACGGAAGGCAGCAGUGGGGAAUAUUGCACAAUGGGCGCAAGCCUGAUGCAGCCAUGCCGCGUGUAUGAAGAAGGCCUUCGGGUUGUAAAGUACUUUCAGUCGUGAGGAAGGUGUUAAGGUUAAUAACCUUAGCAAUUGACGUUAGCGACAGAAGAAGCACCGGCUAACUCCGUGCCAGCAGCCGCGGUAAUACGGAGGGUGCGAGCGUUAAUCGGAAUUACUGGGCGUAAAGGGCACGCAGGCGGUUAAUUAAGUUGGAUGUGAAAUCCCCGGGCUUAACCUGGGAAUGGCAUUCAAGACUGGUUAGCUAGAGUCUUGUAGAGGGGGUAGAAUUCCAUGUGUAGCGGUGAAAUGCGUAGAGAUGUGGAGGAAUACCGGUGGCGAAGGCGGCCCCUGGACAAGACUGACGCUCAUGUGCGAAAGCGUGGGGAGCAAA
rnacentral:rRNA from 1 species